rnacentral:lncRNA from 1 species
GUAAGUAUAAUCAAUAUCAAUAUGCUGAAAAUAAGACGAAAUGUAAUUAUGUAAAAUGCUCACUUAAGUCUAAAAAGGAAGAAAAUGUGUGGAAGACAAAAAUACAAGGGCAAUGAAGAGAAAACAAUAACAAAUAUGGUAUAUAUUAAUCCAACUACAUCAAUAAUCACUGUAAACAUCAAUGAUCUAAAUAUAUCAAUUACAAGACAGAGAUUUGGUCAGAGUGAACCAAAAACAAGACCCAACUAUACGCUGUGUAAAAAAAAAAAGAACACUUUUUUAUUUUAUUUUAUUUUUGAGACAGAGUCUCUCUCUAUUGCCCAGGCUGGAGUGCAGUGGCACGCUCUUGGCUCACUGCAACCUCCACCUCCCAGGUUGUGGUGAGCUGAGAUCGUGCCACUGUACUCCAGCCUGGGAGACAGAGUGAGACUCCGUGUUUAAAAAAAAAAAAAAAAAAAAGGGCCCAAACCCCCUGGGCUGCCAAGACCAAAGGCAGAUGGCGAACCACAUCUCAGCUUCUCUUUUGGGCUUUCCAUUAGUCUCUUCCAUAUUUGUCUUCAUGAGACAACCAAACAGUACAGGCUCAGUCUGGGGAAUGAGAGGCUUGCAGCCACGCUUUGGACUGGGGUUCCUUGGUAGCAGCUCUGUGGUAGGAGAGUGAGCCUAGAAGAUGACCCCAUGCAGCCUAGUGGCCCUCAGAGGGCAGAAUCCAGACAUAGGCCUGCUGCCUCCAUGCCCACAGGCGCUCCUGCAGCAUGCACAGCUUAGAAGCACCAGGUUUGAUAUGAGGAGAGGGAUCCUUAUCCACAUCUCCUUGAAGCACACAACAGUCAGAAAACUGUAGGCAAGGAUCAAGGCCUCGUGCAGGGACAGGGCAGGGUCUUCCCCAGGCCCCGUGUCUUGGGAAGGAGGAAAGCCGGGGCUGGGUGAGAUGAGGCUCGGCCUGAGGGAGUUCAUCUGGACCAGAGGGCUGCUUGCAGCCCAUCUCAACAAAGACUCGCUGCUCCUCACUGCUCGGUGUCGUGCAGGUGUGCCACUGCGAGCCGGGCGGGCAGCCCAGCCCCAUAGGUAGUGGGCAGAGAGUAUGCAUCGCCCACACACAGUACCUUCUCGUAUGACACAGCAGCCCUGUGGUGGUGCCAUUUCCAUUUUUUUGGAUGAAGAAACUGAGGCUCAGAGACACUAGGUCCUAUGCCAGGGACAUGUAGCUAGUAAGUGGCAAAGCCAGGUCAGUCAGCCUAAUCCCCAAGCACUAAACUCACUCUGCGGUUCUGUCUCCUGAGACACCUGUCUCCCUCUCCCCGCUCCUCCUCCUUCUUCCCUCAGCCCCAUCUCCAGGCUCUGCUGCCACUUCAGGCUUUUCCUUGUGGGUAUCUCAGCCUCCUAGCCAGCCAUGGUGGGACUCCCAUGGGGUGGAAGAACCUGCGCCUUCCACCCACAAGGGUUUUAUUUCUGCCUCUGCCACCUGCCUGUGCUGUGUCCCCUAUAUAAGCUACUGUCCCUCUCAGAGCCUUGCUUUCUCACCUGCAGAAUGGGGAGGGCCUGUCUCCCACCUCCUGGGGCCAUGGAAGGGACUGGAAUGGUUCUCCCUUGAGCUGUUCUCUCACGUCCUGCCAAGUUCGCCAGACUCUGGGGCUCUCCACUUCCUCCCAGAGCUGCAGAGUGUUGGUCUCGGGGGAAGCCUGGUAGGUGCUGGGAUCCUUGCCUCAGGGAUGGACCAGUCAC